AUUUGGUCAGUAGCAUCAUGCUGCCGCAAGGGUAGGUUUUGCGGCCUCAAUUUGGAUAGUUUUUCCUAUAAUCUUUGUUGAGGUCAACCCCAAUCUUUUGGGCCAUUUGUAGAUAUAGCAAUCAUGCAAAAAUCUCUUUAGAGAUGGAGUUCUAGAUCCAAGGAAUAACAAUAUCAUUGUUACUAUUUCAAGAGCUCAGAAGAUCGAGAAAUUCACCUUCUCAUUUGGGUAUUGAUCCAUCGACAAAAGAAGCAAUUGAAACAAAGCACUGUGAUGCCAUAUUACGAAGAGAAAAUUAGAAAAGACAAAACUUAAAAUCUAAAGGGGAAUUUACAUACAUACCACCCUAAAAUCCCAAGUACCACAAUUUUACCAACCUUAACCUAACUCCGUCUCCUUCCCCAGCACUUCGCGUGAGGGAUCCUCCAUUAACAAACUCAAGCAAAAGGAUGUACUGUUCUGAGACAACUAAAGUGGAGAUCUUUGCAAACAAGGAAUUGUUAUUAGUGAUUUAUGGCUAGAACUUGUGAUCUGAGACUGUGCGGCCUAUUUCGUGGUUCGCAUUGGGAAAAUUCAUUGGAAAGGAAAAUUAUGGAGGAUGUUGAAAAACAAAUAUCUUAUGAAGAGCAUGGAGAACCAUUUGCAUAUGAAACAUCGACUCUACAGAUUUCAAAUGAGAUGGGGGGUUACUAUUGAUGAGCACGUGAAUGACUUCACAAAUCUGUUAGUAGAUCUGUUAAUUUACAUAGCACAAAUUUCUUAUGUAUUUACACAUCUCACUCCUAAAUUUUAAUAUUUACAUACAU